AUACUACCUGGCAGGGGGAGAAUACCAUGACCACAAAGGUGCUUAUGCCAUUGCACUCCGGAUGUGCCUGAACCCCUACGAUUUCCCCCAAAUGUGGGGGAAACUCGACUGCGAUAAUUUGUGGUAGUGGGGGACUGCCAAUUGCGCUCUCCCCUG
rnacentral:snRNA from 1 species